GUAGGUGGCAAGCGUUGUCCGGAAUUAUUGGGCGUAAGCGCGCGCAGGCGGUUCUUUAAGUCUGAUGUGAAAGCCCACGGCUCAACCGUGGAGGGUCAUUGGAAACUGGAGAACUUGAGUACAGAAGAGGAAAGCGGAAUUCCACGUGUAGCGGUGAAAUGCGUAGAGAUGUGGAGGAACACCAGUGGCGAAGGCGGCUUUCUGGUCUGUAACUGACGCUGAGGCGCGAAAGCGUGGGGAGCAAACAGGGAUUAGAUACCCUGGUAGUCCACGCCGUAAACGAUGAGUGCUAAGUGUUAGGGGGUUUCCGCCCCCUUAGUGCUGCAGCUAACGCAUUAAGCACUCCGCCUGGGGAGUACGGCCGCAAGGCUG
rnacentral:rRNA from 1 species